AGGACGAACGCUGGCGGCGUGCUUAACACAUGCAAGUCGAGCGGAAAGGCCCUUCGGGGUACUCGAGCGGCGAACGGGUGAGUAACACGUGAGUAACCUGCCCUGAACUUUGGGAUAACCCUCGGAAACGGGGGCUAAUACCGAAUAUUACUGCCGGUCGCAUGGUUGGUGGUGGAAAGUUUUUCGGUUUGGGAUGGACUCGCGGCCUAUCAGCUUGUUGGUGAGGUAAUGGCUCACCAAGGCGAGGACGGGUAG
rnacentral:rRNA from 1 species